UAAAAAUUAUGCAAAAUCUUCAUCGUUAUGCACUUUUCGAAAAUGGAAGUCCAAAUUCAGAAGUCUCAUAUUAAUCUGUAGCAAAAAGAAGCAAAAACAACAAUGGAAGAAGAGAUGGAGAUGGAGGAAAGAAGCAAACCAAUUGCUAUCUUCAUGGCCUUCGGUACUAAAGGCGACGUCUACCCCAUCGCUGCCAUUGCUGCUGCUUUUGCUUGUGACCAGAAACAAUACAAUGUGGUCCUAAUAACUCAUUCAGCACAUGAGAACUUAGGUCAUCACUUGGCAGGAAAACAUGUUGCCUAUCAUCCAAUUUUAUCACCACCGGUCCUUUCUACAGAUCAGAACCAUGAGACUACUACAGGGUCAGGCUUACUGGAGUUGUCAUUCUUACUGCAAAAAAGAAUGGUUACAAAAGAACAUAGACGAGAAUGCUAUUCUCUAGUUCAAAGGAUAUUCGGAUGUGGCCAAAGCUUGGAUGGUGAUUUUAUUGUGAUAAAUUUCUUUGCAUUGGAAGGGUGGAGCCUUGCGGAAACGUUUCGUGUCCGUUGCAUUGUUGCUGCUCCAUAUGUUGUCCCUUACAGUGCACCUUCAUCAUUUGAGCGCCACUUUAAAAAAGAACUUCCUCUUUUGUAUAGAUAUCUGCAGGAAGCUACAACUAACAAGGUCUGUUGGAAAGACGUGAUUCAUUGGAUGUGGCCUCUUUUCACUGAUAGUUGGGGAUCUUGGAGAUGUGAUGAUUUGAAUCUGAGUCCUUGCCCUUUUACGGAUCCAGUAACAGGUCUUCCCACAUGGCAUGAUAUGCCUUCAUCUCCCCUAUUAUUGUAUGGAUUUAGCAAAGAAGUUGUUGAAUGCCCUGGUAUACUAAUCUUUUUUGGCUGCCAAAGAGACCUCAAAUGUUAUCUUGGUUAUUGGCCUUCAAAUGUCCGGGUUUGUGGCUUUUGGUUUCUGCCUAUGGAGUGGCAGUUUUCUUGUAAGGAGUGCAGUGAAAUCUCAGCGCUUGUUUCUUCAGGGAAUCUGCAGAGAAAAGAUGAACUAUGUUCAGCUCAUAUUGAUUUACACACUUUUCUGAAGACUGUGUCAACGCCACCAAUUUUUGUUGGGCUGAGCUCUGUUGGAAGCAUGGGCUUUCUAAAAAAUCCCCAAGCAUUUCUUUAUGUACUUCGAACUGUUAUAGAGAUCACAAGUUAUAGAUUUAUCCUCUUCACAGCUGGCUUUGAAGCUUUAGAUGCAGCUGUCCAUAUGAUUGCUGCAGAAGCAUCAUCGUGUUCAAGUCAAACACAGCUCAGUGAAGAUUGCAUCUCUCUCUUUAACAGUCGGCUCUUUUGCUUCACUGGUUCCGUGCCAUACAAGUGGCUGUUUCCAAAAUGUUUGGUUGCAAUUCAUCAUGGGGGCAGAUUAGUGGAACUACUGCUGCUGCAUUACAUGCAGGAAUCCCACAGGUAGUAUGUCCAUUUAUGCUAGAUCAGUUCUAUUGGGCUGAGAGGAUGUUUUGGCUUGGAGUUGCGCCAGAACCACUGAAAAGAGAUCAGUUGCUUCCUGAUCAGAACGAUGACAUGAGCAUCCGUGAAGCUGCAAAUGUACUAUCAAGGGCAAUAAAUGAUGCAUUAUCUCCUAAAGUGAAAGCAUGUGCAAUAGAACUUGCUGAAAGGAUUUCUCUAGAGAAUGGAGUCUUGGAGGCUGUGAAGACCCUCAAGGAAGAGCUGGGCUGUCCAGAUUAAGAAUUUAAGAUAAUCAAGAAAUUCCUACUUCUUAGACUUUUCUCUUUGUAACCUGGUCUUUUUCCAUCAUAUUGGUAACCUUUCAUUUCCUCCUCUCUCUCUCUCUUUUCUUUUCUUUUUAUUUUUUUAUUUAAUUUUUUUCAGCUUUUCCUUGUUUUGGCUGUUGAAUAUACCCAGUCCACAAAAAAAAUAAAAUAAAAUAAAAUUCAGAGGGUUUA